rnacentral:rRNA from 1 species
CCCAUUAAAGCGGUACGUGAGCUGGGUUCAAAACGUCGUAAGACAGUUUGGUCCCUAUCUGUCGUGGGCGUAGGAAGUUUGAAAGGAUCUGUCCCUAGUACGAAAGGACCGGGAUGGACAUACCUCUGGUGCACCAGUUGUCACGCCAGUGGCACAGCUGGGUAGCUACGUAUGGAACAGAUAAGCGCUGAAGGCAUCUAAGUGCGAAACUGACCUUAAGAUGAGACUUCCCAUUCGCAAGAAGUAAGAUCCCUUUAAAGUGAAGAGGUAGAUAGGUCAGGGGUGUAAGUGUAGUGAUACACUAAGCUGACUGAUACUAAUCGAUCGAGGAUUUUGUGAAA